rnacentral:lncRNA from 1 species
CAUUUUUUUCACACUAAUAAUCAUAUUUUAAUACAGAAAGGAAGCUUAAGCCAUAGAGUUCAAACCAUUAUUACCUUCAAGUGACAACUCAGUGUCUAAGGCUCAUGUAUUGGUUGUCGGGGCUGUUAUUUGAGAUUAGAAUUCGCUACCCUUUCCAGGUCUUUUCCAGAUCCAGGAGAGAUUUAACUAAUAGUCUGACACUUUUUAAGAUCUCAUAAGAGACAUUUACUACUUAAUUUUUUCUGAAGCCUGCCACCUGAAGACUUUAUUUACAUAACAAGAACCUUGGCUUCCACAACUCCCCCUAUCUUAAACCCAAGCAUUUCUGCUGACUUCGACUUUUUUUUUUCUAAUAAAAACUUUAUUUUAGGUUCAGGGGUACGUGUGAA